UGGGCUCAAAUCAGUAGGCAGCUGGAGACAUCCUGAACAGCAGAGAAGCAGGAGGAAAGCACCACUGGGGAAGGCUUCCACUGCUAUGAGCAGUGCGGCGGCAGGAUUGCAAAACGCCAGCCGUACCCUUCCCACAGCAUCAGGAGACGGGGCAGAGCAGAGUGAGAAGCCUAGGACUUGCACUCACAGGGAGUUGAGCCCACACUGCCUUUGGGGACAGGAAGUGGCGAGGGGGGGCGGAGCCGAGGAGCAGCUUCCUGUCUGCUCUCCCGGAAGCUGCUGGGCUUCAUUUUGCUGAUCACCUUGCCUGCCUAGCUGCGGUGGUUUCCUGCGGGGAGAAGGUGUGGGCAUGCCUAUGCGGCUGCAGGGACUUAAGCCAGAGCAUUUGAAGGACACGAGAACACAGGAGUGUGAAUAUGCCGCACUGUGGGUGAGGCCUGACUCCUCUGACUCGGAUAAGGACAUCAUGGGCUGCAAAGACCCCAAUGCCCUCGAGUCCUUUAGUAAAUGGUCAGCCAUGCAUUUAUCCAAGCCUUUCGGAUGCUGCAGCCCUAUUUUUUUCAGUUGGCCUCACCAACUGGAAUGUUUUCUGCACACUUUUGCUUCCUCCUACAGAGAAAUUCGUUUGCGAAAAACACACUUCUCCCCAGCGUCGAGCGAUGCCAUCUUCUGGUGCAUCAGAAUCCCCCCUAGAUUGCAGGGGUACGUACCAGCAGCAGCCCCCAAAGCCGGCAAAGCUGGUGAAGGCGAUCUAGAGGAGCCCCCCGAGAUAAUUUUCUACAUCAGCCAACUGAGGAUCAGAGAAGUAAAGUGGUUGUCAAAGGUCUCCCAGCCACUAAGUGGUCUAGCAAAUCAACAACAACACCAAAAAAUAAAGCAAAGCCUGAUUAAGAGUAUUUACUGAUCUCUGAGUCGUAAGCACUCAGCCCGUGGCCGAUCUCAAGUCACCAGCUCCACUGCGGUAUUUCAACCACACAGAUGCGGGAGAUGAGCACGUCACCCCCAGGCAACUUAGCAGGUCCAGCUGCUCGGUUACGGUUGGGCCAUGCUGGGCUCUGGAUGCCACCGCAUGAAUGAGCGGGCUGUACUUGCACCUCGGCUGGCAGGUCUCCAAGCGCCCAGUCCCCGGCCCCACCCCAGCCCACACUCAGCGCAAGGACCAGCCCUCAGUGACUGAAUGCAUCAAUGAGGACAUGCCUGGCGGACAGUCAAGAUUGCUUCCUGGUGAAGCAGAAUCACAGUGUGGAGCCCGGUGUGGAAGCGCUCAUUUUGGAAUCUUGUCCAAGAAGUGUCCUCUAUGAUUGCUAACACUUGGGGGGGGGGCAAACUCCCCAGUCCCCACCUCCACGCAUACACAGCUUUUACCAGUUAGCUGUUCAGUAACCAGGAAGUUUGGACGCCAAUAUCUUCCUUCCAACCUAAGAGAAAAGUCACCUUUACCCCUCAGCUCUCGGCGUGCGCCACCCCACCCCGCGCCUCCCCUGCCCGGCUGCUGGCCCAAGUGCUGACUGGGAGCGGCUGCUCUUGGCAUCAAGCCUGAGAACAUCCUGUACCGCUGAGAGGCUGGGCCGGCCCUCCCUGGACGCCGCGGGAUGGGAAGCCACCAUCCCGGGGUGAGGACGGAGACGAUACGGGCUCAGGACCCUCUGAAGCGGGAGGGAUCCCAGGGGACAGAGGUACAAGCGGUCCGCUCCCUGCCAAGCCCCCGCACUCCACCCACCCCCACCCCAGCAUCCACACACUGUCCUCCGGCAGACGCCUUUGGACAACACCAUUCACGGGGGUGAGGGAGAGAGAGAGAGGGCAGGCCUUCCGAGGAAGUCCACAGAGAGGCAUGGCACUGGAGUGCCCGUAGCGAGAUGUCUCUGGGCCCACGGUCGCUGCCAUCCUUCUAACAAUGCCGGAUGCCCAGCUCCGGGGAGCACAGCCACCUCCUCUCAACACGUCCUGGGUUGAGUGACCCUCCAAGGGUG